rnacentral:rRNA from 1 species
AUUGAACGCUAGCGGCAGGCCUUACACAUGCAAGUCGAACGAGUGGCGGACGGGUGAGUAAUGUCUGGGAAACUGCCCGAUGGCGGGGGAUAACUACUGGAAACGGUGGCUAAUACCGCAUACCAUCGGAUGUGCCCAUAUGGGAUUAGCUAGUAGGUGGGGUAAUGGCUCACCUAGGCCACGAUCCCUAGCUGGUAUGAGAGGAGGACCAGCCACACUGGGACUGAGACACGGGCCAGACUCCUACGGGAGGCAGCAGUGGGGAAUAUUGGACAAUGGGCGCAAGCCUGAUGCAGCCAUGCCGCGUGUAUGAAGAAGGCCUUCGGGUUGUAAAGUACUUUCAGCGGGGAGGCGUUACCCGCAGAAGAAGCACCGGCUAACUCCGUGCCAGCAGCCGCGGUAAUUC